AAUCAACAUACUGUGUUAGGCACUGCCCAAAUCCUACUUUAACAACAUAGCAUUUGCUUUCUAGUGGGAGGGGAAGCCCGCUGAGAGACAGCGGUAGAACUGUGUGUACCUUAGAGGCAGUGAUGGGGCUGAGACAUGUCUGUCCACCUUUGGUGAAGUUACAGGUGACUUGGAUGGUGUCUGAAGAACAGCCAAGAUUUGGGUCAAUCCAGUAAGUACCUGAAGAAAGGGAGCAAUCGGGAAGAAUGGGGGAGAAGAAAGCUGCUGCAGCAGCUACUGACAGACAUGUGAUUGGCUCCGGCAACAAUGCAAGUACAGCCAAAGACAGCUGGGAACAUCUUCAGAGCACUGAGCAGCAAGCUGUGCCGAGAGGAAGCCACUAAAAUAUGAGUCACUUCUCCAGCCUGAACUGGGCUGUAUCUGGAAAUGUGUGGGAAUGACUGAAGUCCAUUCAGGUACAAGAAUCCUUAGACAAGGAGAGAGAACACAGCCUAUGCAACAGCUCUUUUUAGUCCACUAUCUGUCAGUUUUUGGGGGCAGAGGAAAAGCCACUCCCAUUGUAUAAUUCACAAUGGAGAUCGACAUUACAGCCCUAAAACCCAGCAGACUAAAAUGUUAAAAGAAGGAGCGAAGAUCUGCUACCAAGAAUGGGAGACUCUAAAACUGAUUAAAGGCCAAAUAGACCUGGACAGCGAAGUUCCAGUCUGGAUCCUAACUUCCCAAAGGUGUGCUGGAGUUCAGAUAUUGGGGUUAGAUUUGCCUCCACUUCUAGAAUAAUCAUAGGUGGGUCAGCUUCUCAGGUGAUGUUAAUCAGCAUGACUCUACUGAAGUUGAUGAAGAUAUGACCCAAUUGACCCAAUUUGAAAUGGCAGCUGGAUGUACUCAGCACUUCCGGAAAAGUUAGGAAAUAUGCAUCUGGCGAUGUAACACAGCGAUGGAAGAAAGCACUGUAAGGAUAUUAUCUCUGGUCCUGAAAAGCAGUCUUAUAAGGGUGAUGUACCCUAGUAAAGCCCAUGGACACAAUUUUGAUCCAAUACUGCUCUUUAACCUGCUCAGGAAUAUGACUGAGUAUCAAUGUAAUUCC